GUGUCUGAAGGUAGGCAUGACAGGAAGGUCAUUGACUUUUAUGGAACCCUGAAAGAGAUCAUUCAGUUAGACUAUAACUUGGAUGACAGGUCGGUUGUUAUGUUUAAAUGUGACUGGUUUAAGCUUGAUGGUAAGAAGACUGAACUUCAAAAUGAUGGUUUUUUUACAAGCAUCAAUGUGGGAAGUUUAUGGUACAAGGAUGAUUCUUUGAUUCUGGCUACUCGGGCUAAAAAGGUCUUCUAUUUGCCAGACACAAAGUUAGGGAAAAAUUGGCAAGUUGUCCAAACAUUCGACCAUAGGCAUUUGUUCAAUAUUAGUGAAACUUAG
rnacentral:rRNA from 1 species